CCAGGGCACAUGUUCAUUAAGGUGAUUCAUUGCCUUCAACAGUGGUUGCACUGAAGUAAGCAGUUACUGCCUUCAACUUGCCAUUCAAGAAGUUCUUCUCAACCUCUAGCGACCAUGGAUGAUCAGCAGAUAGAGACAACUCUGCCAAUUGGUUGAGAUCAACAUUUCUAGGUAGAAACAUGACAAUUUUGUGAGCAAUUUUCUUUGCAGUGUUAAAGAGAAAAUAUCC
rnacentral:misc_RNA from 1 species